rnacentral:rRNA from 1 species
CUAGGCGGUCAUAGCGGCGGGGAUACACCUCUUCCCAUUCCGAACAGAGAAGUUAAGCCCGCCAGCGCCGAUGGUACUCGGGGCGCAAGCCCCCGGGAGAGUAGGACGCCGCCUAGU